GUGCGUGUUCUCCACGCAGUGACCGGCUUAGUGAAUGAAGUAUGCGUGUUCUCCACGCAGUGAUGGACUGAGUGAGUGACGCGUGCGUGUUCUCCACGCAGUGAUGGGCUGAGUGAGUGAAGUGUGCGUGUGCUCCACGCAGUGAUGGGCUGAGUGGGUGAAGUGUGUGUGUUCUCCACGCAGUGAUGGGUUUAGUGAAGUAUGCAUGUUCCCCGUGCAGUGAUGGGCUGAGUGAGUGAAGUGUGCGUGUUCUCCACGCAGUGACGGGCUGAGUGAGUGAAGUGUGCAUGUUCUCCUCGCAGUGACGGGCUGAGUGAGUGAAGUGUGCGUGUUCUUCUCGCAGUGACGGGCUGAGUGAGUGAAGUGUGCGUGUUCUCCACGCAGUGACGGGCUGAGUGAGUGAAGUGUGUGUGUUCUGUAUACAUGACUGGCUGAGUGAAGUCUGUGUAUUCUCCACGCAGUGACGGGCUGAAUGAGUGAAAUGUGUGUGUUCUCCAUGCAGUGAUGGGCUGAGUGAAGUAUGUGUAUUCUCCACGCAGUGACGGGCUGAGUGAGUGAAGUGUGUAUGUUCUCCAUGCAGUGAUGGGCUGAGUGAGUGAGGUAUGUGUGUUUUCCGUGCAGUGAUGGGCUGAGUGAAGUCUAUGUGUUCUCCGUGCAGUGACGGGCUGAGUGAGUGAAGUGUGUGUGUUCUGUAUACGUGACUGGCUGAGUGAAGUCUGUGUAUUCUCCACGCAGUGACGGGCUGAGUGGGUGUAGUGUGCGUGUUCUCCACGCAGUGAUGGGCUGAGUGAGUGAAGUGUGUGUGUUCUCCACGCAGUGAUGGGCUGAGUGGGUGAAGUGUGUGUGUUCUCCAGUGAUGCGAUGAGUGAAGUAUGCGUGUUCUCCAUGCAGUGACGGGCUGAGUGAGUGACGUGUGCGUGUUCUCCACGCAGUGAUGGGCUGAGUGGGUGAAGUGUGCGUGUUCUCCAGUGAUGCGAUGAGUGAAGUAUGCGUGUUCUCCACGCAGUGACGGGCUGAGUGAGUGAAGUGUGCGUGUGCUCCACGCAGUGACGCGCUGAGUGGGUGAAGUGUGUGUGUGUUCUCCACGCAGUGAUGGGCUUAGUGAAGUAUGCAUGUUCCCCGUGCAGUGAUGGGCUGAGUGAGUGAAGUGUGCGUGUUCUCCACGCAGUGACGGGCUGAGUGAGUGAAGUGUGUGUGUUCUCCACGCAGUGAUGGGCUUAGUGAAGUAUGCAUGUUCCCCGUGCAGUGACGGGCUGAGUUAGUGAAGUGUGCGUGUUCUCCACGCAGUGACGGGCUGAGUGAGUGAAGUGUGCGUGUUCUCCACGCAGUGACGGGCUGAGUGAGUGAAGUGUGCGUGUUCUGUAUACAUGACUGGCUAAGUGAAGUCUGUGUAUUCUCCACGCAGUGACGGGCUGAGUGAGUGAAGUGUGUGUGUUCUCCAUGCAGUGAUGGGCUGAGUGAAGUAUGUGUAUUCUCCACGCAGUGACGGGCUGAGUGAGUGAAGUGUGUAUGUUCUCCAUGCAGUGAUGGGCUGAGUGAGUGAGGUGGGUGUGUUUUCCGUGCAGUGAUGGGGUGAGUGAAGUCUAUGUAUUCUCCACGCAGUGAUGGGCUGAGUGAGUGAAGUGUGUGUGUUCUCUACUCGGUGACGGGCUGAGUGAGUUAAGUGUGUGUGUUCUGCAUGCAGUGACUGGCUGAGUGAAGUCUGUAUUCUGCAUGCAGUGACGGGCUGAGUGAGUGAAGUGUGUGUGUUCACACAGUGAUGUGCUGAAUGACGUGUACAUGUUCAGUAACAGGCUGACUGACAGCAGCAGGAUACUCACUCCGUUGCCACACUGUAAAGGAGCCACCAAGAUGGGACACUGAGAAUAGCCAGAGAAAGGAUGAGCCAUAUUGCAAUUCCCUUUAGAUGAAAUGGCCAGAAAAGACACACUUAGCAGAGAUGGGAGCUGGCCAUGACCGAGCACAGGGCACUUGGGGAGUGAUAGAAAUGCUUUCAAACCUGAACCUGAACCUGGGAAGCCCUGUAGUUAGCAGUCCUGGCCCCGCAGCACUUCCAAACCAGGAACCAUACUUGUGAGUGAACAAGCCAUCAGCGAUUCCAUGCUCUGGCUGGAAUCUUGAGUCUUCACAGCUUGGGCCGUGCAUCUCGGGCAACCAGCAUCAGCAUCCACUCCCAGGAGCCACCCUGAACAUCUCCAUGAGUGUUCAGAUGCCUGCAACUGCCUGGGCAACCACAGGUGAUCCUGUCCCGCCAAACCUGUCCUGAAAGCAUAAAAUCAUGAGAAGAGAAAAUCAAAAUUGUUGUUUUAAGAAAAUCGUUGCUAAGGCUUAGGGUGAGUUGCUGUGAAGCAGCAGUAACCAGAACAGAGGGGCUAAGUGACGAAGACGAAGUUUGGCUGUAAGUUAAUCUUUGUGGCAACUGUUGGGAUAUUGAUGCAGUUUUGCUGUAUCCCCACCCAGAUCUCAUCUUAAAUUCCCACAUGUUGUGGGAGGAACCAGGUCGAAGGUGACUGAAUUUUGGGGGCAGGUCUUUCCUAAGCUAUUCUCAUGAUGGUGAAUAAGUCUCAUAAGAUGUGAUGGUUUUAAAAAUGGGAGUUUCCCUGCACAAGCGCUCUCUCUGCCUGCUGCCAUCCAUUUAAGACAUGACUUGCUCCUCCUUGCCUUCCACUGUGAUUGUGACGCCUCCCCAGCCAUGUGGAACUGUAAGUCCACUAAACCUUUUUCCUGUGUAAAUUACUGAGUCUCUGGUGUCUUUAUUAACAGCAUGAAAGCGGACUGAUACAGAUACCUUAUACAGUUAUCGCUACUACUUCUGUAUAUGCUUAAAUUUUUGCAUUGCAAAAUUCGCAAACGUUAUAGAAAUUAACGUCACAGAUUUACAGUCAACUUAUUCUAGAAUGUUGGAAAUUCUACGACAAAUAAAGAACUUGAUAAAAAGGAGGGGAAUGUUAGAAGGAAACCCUAGGGACCUGGGACCUAGACUCCAUCACUCCUGAAACAGUCAAAUUCAGCAUUUGAUCAUCAGUCAUUAUGUGGCAAUGCUAUUGUAGCUAUGCCAAAACAAAAUCCCUAUCUGAUCAAAGAGAUACGCUGCAACAUUUAUGGGUAAAAACAUAUGUCUGAAAUUUGCUUAAAGAUAUUCAGGAAGCAGGGCUCCAUGACUCCCGCCUGUAAUCCCAGCACUUUGGAAGGCCAACACAGGUGGAUCACUUGAGGU